rnacentral:rRNA from 1 species
CGUGGGAACAUACACAGCACAGGGGGAUAACCAUUGGAAACGAUGGCUAAUACCGCAUACGCCCUAUUGGGGAAAGAUUUAUCGGUGUUGGAUUGGCCCGCGUUAGAUUAGCUAGUUGGUGGGGUAAUGGCUCACCAAGGCGACGAUUUAUAGCUGGUUUGAGAGGAUGAUCAGCAACACUGGAACUGAGACACGGUCCAGACUCCUACGGGAGGCAGCAGUCGGGAAUAUUGUGCAAUGGGGGCAACCCUGACACAGCCAUGCCGCGUGAGUGAAGAAGGCCUUAGGGUUGUAAAGCUCUUUCAGAUGUGAGGAUGAUGACGAUAGCAUCAGAAGAAGCUCCGGCUAACUUCGUGCCAGCAGCCGCGGUAAUACGAAGGGAGCUAGCGUCGUUCGGAAUUACUGGGCCGUAAGGGCGUGUAGGCGGAUUAUCAAGUUAGGGGUGAAAUCCCGGGGCUCAACCUCAGC